CCCGGGUCUUGUACACACCGCCCGUCACACCAUGGGAGCGGGAUGUACCAGAAGUAGGUAGGCUAACCGCAAGGGGGCCGCUUACCACGGUGCGUUUCGUGGCUGGGGUG
rnacentral:rRNA from 1 species